rnacentral:rRNA from 1 species
AACAGCUCAAAUUUGAAAUCUGGCUCUUUCAGGGUCCGAGUUGUAAUUUGUAGAAGAUGCUUUGGGUGUAGCUCCGGUCUAAGUUCCUUGGAACAGGACGUCAUAGAGGGUGAGAAUCCCGUACGUGACUGGGUGCUUUCGCUCGUGUAAAGCUCUUUCGACGAGUCGAGUUGUUUGGGAAUGCAGCUCAAAAUGGGUGGUAAAUUUCAUCUAAAGCUAAAUAUUGGCCAGAGACCGAUAGCGCACAAGUAGAGUGAUCGAAAGAUGAAAAGCACUUUGGAAAGAGAGUUAAACAGUACGUGAAAUUGUUGAAAGGGAAGCGCUUGCAACCAGACUUGCAGGCGGUUGAUCAUCCGAGCUUCUGCCCGGUGCACUCGAUCGUCUUCAGGCCAGCAUCGGUUUUGGUGGGCGGAUAAAGGCCUUGGGAAUGUAGCUUCUUUCGGGGAGUGUUAUAGCCCUCGGUGCAAUGCGCCCUACCGGGACCGAGGACCGCGCUUCGGCUAGGAUGCUGGCGUAAUGGUUGUAAGCGACCCGUCUUGAAACACGGACCAAGGAGUCUAACAUCUAUGCGAGUGUUUGGGUGUCAAACCCAUACGCGUAAUGAAAGUGAACGGAGGUGAGAACCCUUAAGGGUGCAUCAUCGACCGAUCCUGAUGUCUUCGGAUGGAUUUGAGUAAGAGCAUAGCUGUUGGGACCCGAAAGAUGGUGAACUAUGCCUGAAUAGGGUGAAGCCAGAGGAAACUCUGGUGGAGGCUCGCAGCGGUUCUGACGUGCAAAUCGAUCGUCAAAUUUGGGUAUAGGGGCGAAAGACUAAUCGAACCAUCUA